rnacentral:snoRNA from 1 species
AUAAGUGGCAAUGAUGAUUUAUGUGAUCCCAGCUCUUUGAGGCCUUUUACAUUUGUUGUAUAAGGUCUGGGAAAAUAACUUGUUCCACAUUUUUUCUGAGCCUUUAA